ACCUCUUCCAUCAUGCAUCAGUUGAUAAAGCUCAGUCGUUCAAAAGAGUGUAUACAACCAUCGCGAUAAAUAAGGAUCGAUAAAUAUCUAAAACUAAUAAUCCAAGAUAAGGGUCCAAGAAAGAGAUGGGCAAGAUACUUAUCUGGAUAAAAACUUCAAAUGAUGAAUAAAAGGUAGGAAGAGCUCGGAGCGCUUUGAGGCAGGGCUAGAAACGCAGGUGUUGGCCAUUGUUACCUUGCCAAUUUCCCGCUGCUUAAGCCGUUGGCCAAAAACGGAACCCUUCAUUUUCGAGGGUGUGCGAAACAAGGUAUCACGCGAAAGUCACAGUAACCCUCAACAACCCUCUACAGCCUCAACAGUUGACGGAAGAACGUCCUGGCGACGGAAAACGGUAAAUAGUUGAGCGUUGUCGCGAAUAAAGAAGGCGACAAAGGUCGUUUCGUGCAAUUCAUCGUCUCUCUGACAAUGAGUCAUAACGAAGAUCUGCCAGUGACACGGUCAUCAAACAUGCACUGGCGGCGGGUAAAGUCAAUAUUGAUGCGCUUGUAAAACUACCGAUAGUCAGUUUAGAUUAAGAUAAAGAGGGCUCUGUGAAUCACGUGAGCGUUCCAACUCGUGUUUAGGUUCACGUGUUUGAGCCUGCUUCAAUUCGCUUGGUGAACUGAUUUUAACAAUAAAGAGUAUUUCACUCCUGACGUUUAAAAACUGUGUUUUUUUUUCAUUUGCAUUAAUUUGAACAUAUAUAUUC